rnacentral:rRNA from 1 species
CCUACGGGGGGCUGCAGUGGGGAAUAUUGGACAAUGGGGGGAACCCUGAUCCAGCCAUGCCGCGUGUGUGAAGAAGGCCCUCGGGUUGUAAAGCACUUUCAGUGAGGAAGAACGCCUGGUGGUUAAUACCCAUCAGGAAAGACAUCACUCACAGAAGAAGCACCGGCUAACUCCGUGCCAGCAGCCGCGGUAAUACGGAGGGUGCGAGCGUUAAUCGGAAUUACUGGGCGUAAAGCGCGCGUAGGUGGCUUGACAAGCCGGUUGUGAAAGCCCCGGGCUCAACCUGGGAACGGCAUCUGGAACUGUCAAGCUAGAGUGCAGGAGAGGAAGGUAGAAUUCCCGGUGUAGCGGUGAAAUGCGUAGAGAUCGGGAGGAAUACCAGUGGCGAAGGCGGCCUUCUGGACUGACACUGACACUGAGGUGCGAAAGCGUGGGUAGCAAACAGGAUUAGAUACCCGAGUAGUC